CUUAGCGUUCUGUGCUAUGAACGAGCUGUGGUUAAAUCUGUCAGGGGAAAUAAUCUUUAUUUAUAUUUCAUAGUAUUUAUUAUAAAUUUUUGUAUGUUAUAUAGAUCUAUAACAAUCACAAGAUGUGCACCAGGGUUGUUAACCGGAUCAUUCCCAAAUCGAAAUACAAUUAUAAAAGGUAUUCCAAUAAGGAUUCUAAGUGUACAACAGCCGGAAUUUUGGUUAUCGGGGAUGAAAUCCUGAAAGGUCAAGUAAUGGACACCAACUCCAAAUUUUUGGCUCAGGAAUUGCACAAGCUUGGUGUAAAGUUAAAGAAGGUUUGGAUCUCUUACAAAAUAUUUCUGUGGUGCCAGAUGACAUAGAAGACAUUUCCGCAGAAGUUAGAUUGGUGUCCAAUAAGUUUGACUACAUUUUAACAACAGGAGGCAUAGGCCCUACUCAUGAUGACUUAACUUAUGAAGCCGUAGCACAUGCUUUUGGUGAAUCAAUAUAUUUAAAUUCUGACUUGAAAGAAAUUUGCAUGCGAUUCUACAAAAGUAUUAAAAGUUUGAAUGCUGGGAUGAAGCUUGCUUAUAUUCCAAAAUCUUCAAGGUUGCACUAUGCUACAGUUGAUGGUGGCAGAUUGUUAUAUCCCAAUGUUUCAGUGCAUAAUGUGUAUAUGUUUCCUGGGAUACCAGAAUUGCUAAGAAAGUCAUUUUUAAGUGUAGGACCUGUUUUAUUUAAUUCAACUAGAAGAUUCUUUUCAAAAGUUGUUUAUUGUACAAUGGAGGAGUGUGAAAUAGUAAAGGAACUCGAGAUUCUUGUGCAAGAGUUUCCUGAGGUAGAGUUUGGUUGCUACCCCAAACUUUAUGAUAGUGUGUACAAAGUGAAAGUGACUAUAGAGUCUUGCAAUGAAGAGGCUACACUCAAGGCAUAUGAAAAAUUGUUGGAUUUAAUUCCUAAAAAUUGUAUUGUUAAUUUUGAUGAUUUAUGAUAAAUUCUGUGAUUAGAUUUCAUUUUAUUGUCCUUUAUAAGAACCAUUGAUUUGAUACUUUUUUAAACAAGGACAUGAAAGAUUGGCAAAUAGUGUGGUCCAAGUGAGUAAUGUACAUAAUUGUGUAUGUUUAACUUAAUAAUAAUAAUUAAAUUAGACUUAUUCCAGAUUACUUAGAAUGGUAGUGUAUUACUGACAAUAAGUUUCCCCAGUAUCAGCUCAAUAUGAAUGGCCAAGUAUGAAAACUUACUCCAGCAUAAAAUGUCUCAAUGGUUCAUAUACAGGGUUGUUCAUAUUAUGACUUAAUGGCAUAUUCAGCAUAUAAAAAUAAGUAAAAUAGUUCAUAUAAAAUUGUGUUCUAAAAUUCUUUUGGAGAUAUUAAAUUGCAAUAUUGCAAAAAAACGUUUUUUCUUGUUAAAAAAAAAUCUUCUAGAUUUAAACUUAUUAUUGCUACUUAAAAACAAAUUUCUAGAAUAGAUAAAUUUGUUUUUCGU